GUACCACUACGUCCGUACCUGAACCGACACCGGAGCACGGCCAAGAUCGUCCAACCGUACUAGUCGCGGAAAGAAAACAUCGGCGUAGCAGGUUCCUAUCCUGUGCCGUUGCGGGUUUAGCAUUUUUGCCUGCGUCUUUCGUGCGACGCAGAUCUGAUUGUGGUUCUUAAAGGCGUAGAAAUUAGCCGGUUUUCGAACGUGGCUGGGCUCCUCGAGUUGGUGAGGAUGGUGAUGGUCACUGGGCUCCGUGCAGAGUACGGCAGUGUACGGCAGUUGCGGAGCCUUCUCGCGUAUAUACGCCGCAUAGGGCGUCUAACAUAAUUGGGGUCCGUGCGGAGGGCGACGUUGAUUGGGCUCAGGAAAGUGGGACGUGUCUUAGAGUCGUGGGUGUCCAGAGCUGAGUUCGGUACCCGCGGCCGCUCUUCUGCCGGCGCCCGUACGGCGCGUAGCCGUACCCGUGCCGCCACGUCCCCGGGUUCGGCCUGGGGUAGGCGGCGCGGCAGGAGGCGCGGUAGCUCUAUCCCAUGGCGGUGAAGCUGUGCCGCCGCGUGAUGCUCUGGCUCCGGGGGUAGCCGCUCCGGCGGCGGCUCCGGCACGCGAGGCCGCGGCAGCGGAGGGCCCUGCUCGAGAAGUAGUGGAGGUUCGAGACCACGUCGCUGCGGGUGGCGCUGUCCCAGCAGGGGCGGGAGUCCGUCAGCGAGGCCUUAGAGGUCUACCUCAUGCACCUGGACAUGGAACAGGUGACCGGCCACAGGUACUUCGGGCCCGCCAAGUUCCGGGGGAAGUGCCGGCUCCUGAAGCACGGGAAGCUGUACGCCCGGCACACCCUCCGGUACCUCCUCACGGUGUCCGACCCGGAGCGGUUCCGGUAGCCGCAGCGGUUAAAGAGGACGUUCUUCGACCUCUGGGAGGAGAGGAAGCGGUGGUAGGGAGGGUGGCAGUUAGUCCACCUCCACUUGGGCCACACCGUCGUCUCUUUCGACUCCCUCAAGACGUCCCCGUUCCCGUAGGUCGACACGCGGAUGAGCGGCGACCCCCGGUUCCCGUGCGUGACCCCGUCGCUGCGGCACUACCUGCGGCCGCAGGACGUCCUCUAGCGGCGCAGGUCCCCGUUCUCGCACCGCGUCCACACGGACUCCACCCACAUGCUCGUCCCCCUGACGGAGUAGCAGUUCUCGAAGCUGCUCCGGGCCUACUCCCUCUUGGACCUCCACCUGCCGACCCUCGAGUGCCUCCUCCUCGCGGAGGCCUAGCGGCUCUAGGGCGUCGCGUUCUAGUUGGAGCCGUUCGCGAUGCACAGGCUCGUGCCCGGGAUGUUCAGGGAGCUCCUCGAGACCCUGCCGCUCUAUACUCAUCGGUCACCUCUCCGGCUGACAGGCCGCGAUGCACACACGACCCACAGUAGGAACCGGUACCCGCCCACCAACUAGCCCCCUGCUAAAGGGAAACUUAUUUUAGUACAAGACGUAACACAAAGUCACUUAUUUACUUCUACAAAUGACGGCGUAAAUUCCUCUCAAUAAUUCUCUAGCCCUAGUAGAGUAGUACAAUAAUACGCAUGAAAGGACCGUUACAUUCAACAAGGUUCCCGUCUUGUCUUGUUUUUCUUCACACAUACAUUUAUUUCUCUCCGUCGCCGC
rnacentral:rRNA from 1 species